rnacentral:lncRNA from 1 species
CGGGCAUAGGGUUUGCCAGGGUUAUUCUUUCGGAAUGUGGCCACAGCGUCGGCCUGGUAAACAUCAAAGAUGAUUUCCAAGCCCCCAGACUUCUCCAACAGCCUGACAAUACAAUGAGAAACGUUAUGACAUGAACUCUUCUCCCCAACCUUUCUUUUCCAUCCCACCCUUUCCCUCCACCAGUUCCAGGAAGCAGCCUCACAGAGGUGCCACUUGAGGGUUGGGGGCUCUGAACCCUUGGGCUAACCCACUGGUUAUUCUCCCUCUUCCCUAGACACACACGAACACUAGUUAUUGCUCAGAGCUAGGCGUAGGGGUAGGAGUCCCUGGAACAGUCCUCUAGUUUACACCCUACUUCAGGAGCCAGUUCCUAACCACCAACUCCUGGCGGUCAAGGUACUGCAGAGACGGCACUGCUUGGAAACUUACCGGGCACCUCCAUCAGGAAGGUGUGUUGUCUGCAGCACAGAGAUAUGCUGAAGGACCACGGCUACAAGGACACAGAAAACAAGGCCCUGCUGCAGCCGCCGGAGAACUGACCGUGCUUGUGGGUCCACUCCCUCCUCCCACAUCUUCCUUAAGCCUCAAUCCAUCCCAGUUCAUCCAUGCCCUUUCCAAAGUCCUGUGAUUCCUCAGCUGCCAGUGGCCCUCGAAGAUGUGGCAGGCUGAGGGGGUACCUGGGGAGCUGGCCUGGCCAGGACUCAGCAGCGGGGUGACGGGCUGGCCCCACAGGUGAGGGGCCCGGCGCUGGCUCCUCUGCACCUGCCGCCGCUGCAGCAGCUCCUUGUACUCCCGCCAGCUGGAGCACCGCUGCACCUCGGGAUCGGCGUUGACAUCUUCCUGGAACUGCGCGGCCUCCGCGUGGUGCUCCCGUUCCCGCCUGGAGAGCUUCUCCUUGCGCUGGUUCAGCUUCUGGCACCAGGACUCAGCGUCUGUCUCCCGCCCAGCCACGUUGGCCGGGAGCAGCUCUGGGGCUGGGGCGCGCAGAAGGGUGUGGCGGCUGUCUGAAGCCAUGUUGGGGAAGGAGAUCUGCUCGAAGUUCCAGCGCCGCUUACCGGCUCCCGUGACUCCGUUCUCGGCUCUGCCACUCUCCCAGCUGCACCCCACCCCCUCCCUGGCCGGGCCAGGGCUGGGGCCCAGGGACCCCAGAAGCUGAAAGGGGCCCCCUGGGCCCUUCAUGGGGCUUGACUCCUGGGGUUUCUCCUCUGGGCAUUGGCUGGGCUGGCUGCAGGGAGGUGGGCUGGAGGCUGCCAGACUCUUGGGUUGCAGGGAGUUGUCCAGGGCCUUGGCCUUCUUAUUAAUGGACCUGAGGGACGUGGGGGAAAAGCAGCACAUCUGCCCCUGGUUGCUAAGGUGCACACGUCCCAUGGGAGCUGAAGGCAGGUCCCCUAGUGUCUCCCUGAGCCUGCAUGGGAGCUGCUGGUUCUUAGAAAGCCUGUGCAUUUUCCAAGGUCCCAGACACCAGCACUCCCUGGGGGGCCACCGUGAUGUGGGAGUUACCGAGGGCUGGAGCUGCUCCUCUUUCUCUUGCCAUCUCCAUCCUCCAAGUGCUGCACGCUGGCAUCCAGGUUAAGCUGCCUCUCAUACGGGGACAGGACAGAGCUGUGGGGUGAGAACAGCGGGUGGGCCACUGACCCACCUCCUCAGCCUGGGGAUCUGGUGGGAUGUGUAAGGAAACGGGCCAAGAGGACAGUCAGUGGGCCAGGAUCGGAGCCACACCCAAGUGCUAAGGCCCUAAGCAGACCCCCAUGAGGGGUACAGGCCCAGCCAGGGGGCCCAGCCAUGUGCCUCUGCCUAGGCAAUGGCCCAGAGGAGCUAGCAAACUUG